rnacentral:rRNA from 1 species
GACGAACGCUGGCGGCGUGCUUAACACAUGCAAGUCGAACGGACAGGCCCUGCUUUUGUGUCGUGCUCGAGUGGCGAACGCGUGAGUAACACGUGAGUAACAUGCACUUGUCUUUGUGGUAACUCUACGGAAAAGGGGCUCAUACCGGAUAGGAUCUCCUGCAGCAUGGUGGGCAUUGGAAAGAUCCGGCGGUUGGGGAUGGUCUCGCGGGUUAUCAGCUUGAUUGUGGGGUAGUGGUUUCCAAAGGCUUUGACGGGUAGCCGGCCUGGGAGGUGUACCAGCCACAUGGGGACUGAGGUACGCACCAGUAUCCAACGUGCGGCAGUAGGGGGGAAUAUUGCAGAAUGGGCGGAAGCCUGAGGUAGCAACGCCGCGUUCGGAAUAACGGCCUUCGGGUGGUAAACAGCUUUGGACGUUGAUGAAGCGUGAGUGACGGUAAUGGGUAAAAAAGCACCGGCUAACUACGUG